rnacentral:rRNA from 1 species
GAACGCUGGCGGCAGGCCUAACACAUGCAAGUCGAACGGUAACAGGAAGCAGCUUGCUGCUUGCUGACGAGUGGCGGACGGGUGAGUAAUGUCUGGGAAACUGCCUGAUGGAGGGGGAUAACUACUGGAAACGGUAGCUAAUACCGCAUAACGUCGCAAGACCAAAGAGGGGGGACCUUCGGGCCUCUUGCCAUCAGAUGUGCCCAGAUGGGAUUAGCUUGUUGGUGGGGUAACGGCUCACCAAGGCGACGAUCCCUAGCUGGUCUGAGAGGAUGACCAGCCACACUGGAACUGAGACACGGUCCAGACUCCUACGGGAGGCAGCAGUGGGGAAUAUUGCACAAUGGGCGCAAGCCUGAUGCAGCCAUGCCGCGUGUAUGAAGAAGGCCUUCGGGUUGUAAAGUACUUUCAGCGGGGAGGAAGGUGUUGUGGUUAAUAACCACAGCAAUUGACGUUACCCGCAGAAGAAGCACCGGCUAACUCCGUGCCAGCAGCAGC